rnacentral:ncRNA from 2 species
GGCCGCCACGGGGAUGGAGUCCCCCGAGAACCGCACCAUGCUGAUGACUCCUGCCGGACG